UGAGGAAUAUUGCUCAAUGGGCGCAAGCCUGAAGCAGCAACGCCGCGUGGGUGAAGAAGGAUUUCGGUUCGUAAAACCCUUUUCUGUGUGACGAGGAAGGACGGUAGCACAGGAAUAAGUGUCGGCUAACUACGUGCCAGCAGCCGCGGUAAUACGUAGGAUGCAAGCGUUAUCCGGAAUUAUUGGGCGUAAAGCGUACGUAGGCGGCUUAUCAAGUCUGGGGUUAAAGACCACAGCUUAACUGGGGGA
rnacentral:rRNA from 1 species